UUUGUAACCUCUUGGAAGCUCCGCUUCCCCAGCAGUUGAAGGGGAGGAAAAUUCCUGUCUCACAGGUUGGUUGGAGAGUUAUAUGGAAGGAGGCACUUAACACACUGCAAUUAACUAUUUCAUCUUUUAUCUCUCCAGUAUGUAAUUCUAGAGGUCAGCGCAUCAAUGAGUCUCAACUUUAGCUAAGAGUAGCACAGAUUGUCAUACCAGGAACAAGGCUUGGGUGUCAGACCACACCAGGAUAAAACUAGGCUCUGCCACUUCUCCCAAGUGACCUAAACUCUUGGACUCAAAGUUUCAUAGAUUUUGAGCAGGAAUAAGUGCUCAGCAUUUUAUUACUAGGCAUCUUCACCUGUGGACCCAUCAUCACAUCCAUUUGGUUUGCCUCCUAGCAGUGACAACUAGGUGAUGGAAGGUGCUUACCACUGGUGAGAUUGGUGCUGGACUGUACUCAUCCUGUCCCCAUCCCCAAGACUGGGAACUUUCCAGGCUGGAGGAGGCUCUCUUCCUGUCCCUGUUACCUGCAGUGCACAGGUGCACUGGUGAUGGUGUGAUGCAUCCACAGCGGGUGACUGCAGAGUGAGUGAUUGAUGAGGUAAGGAUGGGAUGCAUCAUGGUUUCUCUAAGGAUAGAAGCUCGGUGGCUUACUUUGGGCCAAGUGAACAGAAUGCUGGCAGGCUACCAAGUUUGAGGAGGUUCUGACCAAGUACAAGUCCAGGCUGAGAAUCCAGACGCAUGGCCAGAGGGUAGGAACUGGCAGAGUUACUGGCCAGGGGCAAGAGUGCUGAGACCGGAUAGUGCAGUAGGAAGUACCUGUGUGCAGCAAGCAGACAGCUCCCCUGGGGAGCCGGGUUUUGAUAUUUCCUGGUCGAGUGACUUCAGGCAAGUAGCUCAACGCCUCUGAAGUACACAUCGCUUGUCAGCAAAAUGGGAUAAUAUGCACUAAUCUGUAGAAGUGUGGUAAAAGAGUUAAAGGAGGAACCCCAUCUCACAAGCACGCCACAGGAUCGGGUUUAUGAUAGGUGACUGGCAAACGAUGGAUUUUCUGCAAUGAAAACAGUCUCAUAUCUGGAAUGCAGCUGAGGUACUCAGGAGUUAUCUCUGCUAAAGUCUUAAGGGCCUCAAAAGCAAAAAACAUCUGAACAGACAUGGAAACAUUUGACCUGCCAGAGGGAGGCCUUCUACAUACACCACAGCCACGGGAAAUCGUGGUGGCAUUACGAAUGUCGAUUUUUUUUUUACCUUUAAAAAAUUACAUUAGUGCUCCUUGGAGUUCAAAUGAAAUGCAUUCCCGAGAUAAUACUCAGAGCUUAAUGUUCAUAACAUUUCAGAAUAAAAAAAAAUCACUCUGUGUUUACUUUGUGCUUAUUAAACAGAAAAAGAUGAAAGGAGCAAAUAGAGGAAAGAUAAGCGAGAUUAUUUCCAAUUUCUUGAGCCCUUCCUUCCACCUGGAUGCUUUGAUAAUGGCACAGUGAAGUGUGGGAGUGUGAGACCCAAAAAUCAGAGGGGCAGCAUCACUCAGCCCUGUCACCAGGUGCAUCACUGGUGAGAGGGACCAUCCAACGGGCCUGCUGGCAGGGGACUUGGCGUCCAACUCCCAGCAUCUUGGGCUUUCGUGGCCCUGCAGAGUUCCAACUGUUAGGAGACCUUGAGAGGUCACAUGGAAUCUGGGUAAAAUUUCAAACUCUUAGAUAAUUUUUUUUUUAGAUUUAUUUUAUCUAUUUCAAAGACAAGAGUUAUGGAGGGCGGGGAGAAUUCUUCCAUCCGCUGGUUCACUCCCCAAAUGGCCUCAAUGGCUGGAUCUUAGCUAAGCAGAAGGCAGUAGCCAGGAGCUUUUUUCAGGUCUCCCAAAUGGGUGCAGGGGCCAAGGACUUGGGCCAUCCUCUGCCACUUUCCCAGGUGCACCAGCAGGGAGCUGGAUUGCAAGUGGAGCAGUGAGGACUUGAACUGGAGCCCAUAUGAGAUGCUAGUGCUGCAGACCAGUGCUGUAACCUGCUGCACCACAGCUCUGGCCCCAAUUCUUUAAUUUUUCUAAGAUUUUUUUAAAAAAAAUUUAUUUGAGGGGCUGGUGCUGGUUAAGUCACCGCCUGCAGUGCUGGCAUCCCAUAUGGGUGCCAGUUGAAGACCCGGCUGCUCCACUUCUGAUCCAGCUCACUGCUAUAGCCUAGGAAAGCAAUGGAAAAUGGCCCAAGUCCUUGGGCCUCUGCACCUGCAUGGGAGACCCGGGUGAAGAUCCUGGAUCCUGGCUUCAGAUAGGCACAGCUCCAGCCAUUGCAGCCAAUUGGGAAGUGAACCAGCAGAUGGGAUCUCUCUCUCUCUCUGCCUCUCCUUUCUCUGUAUAACCCUGCCUUUCAAAUAAAUAAAUAAUCUUUAAAAACAUUUAUUUGAAAGUCAGAGCUACACAGAGAGAUGAAGAGAUGGGUGGGGGAGAGAUUCUCCAUCCUCCAACCCACUCUCCAAAUGACCAUAACACAAAGGCUGGGCCAGGCUGAAGUCAGGAGCCUCCUCUGCAUCUCUCAUGUGGGUACAAAGGUCCAAACACCUGGGCCACCUCUUGAUGCCUUCCCAGGAAUAUCAGCAGGAAGCUGGAUCCAAAGUGGAGCAGCUGGGACUCAAACCAGUGCCUAUAUGGGAUGCCAGCAACACAGGCAGUGGCUUCACCUACCAUGCCACAAUACUAGCCCCGUGAUGAUUUUUGAGAUGAUAGAAGAGGAAACUUUAUAAACUGCUGCCAGAGUCCACUCAGGUGCUGAACAACCCUCACCUUAGGAAAAUAGUCACUUAAAAUUCAGCUAAUUGACAAUUUCUGCUAGGACCAAAUUUCAAUGAUUUGUUUCAUUCCCAGGGUAGAUAUCAUUGGGUCUCCUUAGAUGAAAAGGAUGGGGAACUUAACUAAGACAGAGAUGGUGGAAGUUACUCUUUCUAUAGGAGCCCAAGAACUGAGCUCGCUCUCAGUGCUGACGCUUGCUAGCUACAUGACCUCAGGCUGAUUAUUUCCCUUCCCUGAAUAUGGUUUUCCUCAUCUGCAGAUUGGAAUCUGGGCCUCAAGGCAUGCUGGGUACUCCACAAGAGGAGGAGAGAUGACCAGAUUGUGGUAUUACAGCAUACGCUGCUAUAUUUUACUACUGAAUGAGCCAUGGAUUUGCUGGUAGGCUACUUUAAUGUUUUUUUAAAUCCAGAAUUUAAGUUAUUAAUAUCUGUAGAGCAAGGUCAGUGAUUUCAUUAUUCAAAUUACGUGAAAAGACAAAUUGAUGCAAAGUCUACAAGUCUAGACAGGUCCAAGACUUUAAGAAUUAUAAUAUGCAACUAUGCUGUGGUCCUGCAAAGCUCUUAGUAAAAGAACAAUUAUUACUAGGAUUCAAGGAAUUUCUGCAAGAGGAGGCUAGGAAUGUGACAGUCAGUAUGAUAAUGAAUGCAGGGACUUCUGUAUCAGUCACCAACUGCCCAUGAUAAGCAUAUACAACAUGCAGACAAAUCAAAUGCUUUCUCUGGCAGGAGCAGAGGGAGCUCUAGCUUCUAAUCCCUAUGGAACCUACUCUUUGUUGGGGAGGGCAUGGAAGGAAAGCUUGUUCAAACUCUGCAAAGUUAUCAAGUAUGAGAUAAAAUUAUUUGAAGAUGAAAUGCAGAAGAAAAUAUUGAGGGUUGGCUCUUAAGUAUCUCUUCAUCAUUUUUCCGACUAGUCUGAAAAUCACCAGAAAGAGCUAUUUCCGCAGUAGGAAAAGCUUGCACAAAAAUAUGUUUGCAACUCAAUGAUGUCACUGACCCACUUUAUUUUUUGGCUAGCACAUUUUUAAAGGAAGAAAAUAAUGUUUUGAUUUUCAACUUUCAUAAUUAAUUACAGCUCCUUAAUUUACAUGCUGUUUAGUUUGUAGCUGGAAUAUUUCUCUUUGCAACUUUUAUCUGUCCAAAACGUAUAUAACAGUCACAAUGUUUACCUUUUGUAAAUUUACCCUCAUAUUUGUAAUAUAUGUAUAUGUUUUUGUAUCAAAUGUAUGUUAAAUAAUUUAAAUCUUUUGAGUUUUAAUUUCAUAAAUUCUGUAUAUUUUCAAAAUAAA